rnacentral:lncRNA from 10 species
GCGGGGGCGAGGGAAGGGGUGGGGCGAGUACCGCUCCAGGAAGAGGAGCGUUACUAUGGCAACCCUGACAGGUUUGUGAGCAGCUCCUGGUCCCCUGCUGCUCCGUGAGAAAUCAAACUUCUGGCAAUGACAAAGCAUGAAGACAGCAUCUUAGGGAGAGGUAGUGACAUAAUUAAACGGGCGACCGGAUUACAAUCCCAGCCAGCAUGAACAGGGGGUGGUGCGCAGUCCUGAAGGGGGAAGCCGGGCUGUGCCGGCCUCGCUGUGCAUUCUGGGAGCUGUAGUCUCCUUACCGCUCCCGCCCGUUGUUUCAAGCGCUUCGGGACUACAAUCCCAGCAUGCCCCGGGCUCGGGGGCGGGGCGCAGUUCUCUUUGCGAGAGCGCAGCAGCGCGCGCCUGACCAGGCUGAUUGGAAACGGUAGCUCUUAACGGUUCCCCGCCCGUCGGUGGCAAGGCGGCUGGACUAGAAUCCCAGCAGACGACAUGCGAGGAGGCGGGCAACCCAGGAGUGUUGGGCAGAGCAGUGUGGACCUCGCCGCUUCCACAGCGAUGCUGGCUACUGAUCGCGGGCACCUCCUUGCCAUGGGAAGUUUGUGCUGUGCACUAACAUGUAAUUCAAAUACUGAUGAAAACAAAGCUGGUGCCUUCCUACCAAGUGGUAACAAUGCAUAUUUUUUUCUUUCUCUAAUUAUAAAAGAAAUGCAUGCUGUUUUAAUAAUGGUGGAUCAUAGAGAUCUUUAUGUAACGAAAGUUUCACAUGUCUUCCUCUUCGUUCGAAACUCACUCCCUUGUUAGAAGGAAUUAUUAUAGCUUGGUGUUUAUUUUUUUGGACGUUUUCUAUAAAUUUAUAAAUACACAUAAAUUUGGCCAAGUGUGGUGGCUCGUGUCUGUAAUCCCAACACUUUGGUAGGCUGAGUGGGGAGGAUCCCUUGAGCUCAGAAGGUUGAAGCUGCAGUGAGCUGUGAUCAUGCCAUUGCACUCCUGCUGGGCCAACAAGAUGAGACCACCUGCCUCCAAAAAAAAAAAAGAAAAGAAAAAAAAAUACUAUUACAUGUUUUUGAACCCAAUUGUAUAUCUAUUUUUCUUAUUGUAUUCACAAGCAAUAUA